UGUAUCGGCCGGGAAUCGAACCCAUGGCAGGCGAGCAUUCUACCACUGAACCACCGUUGGUUAUC